rnacentral:rRNA from 1 species
CAGUCGAACGCUUCACUUCGGUGAAGAGUGGCGAACGGGUGAGUAAUACAUAAGCAAUCUGGCAUCUACAGGGGGAUAACUGAUGGAAACGUCAGCUAAGACCGCAUAGGUGUAGAGAUCGCAUGAACUCUAUAUGAAAAGUGCUACGGGACUGGUAGAUGAUGGACUUAUGGCGCAUUAGCUUGUUGGUAGGGUAACGGCCUACCAAGGCGACGAUGCGUAGCCGACCUGAGAGGGUGACCGGCCACACUGGGACUGAGGCACGGCCCAGACUCCUACGGGAGGCAGCAGUAGGGAAUUUUCGGCAAUGGGGGAAACCCUGACCGAGCAACGCCGCGUGAAGGAAGAAGUAAUUCGUUAUGUAAACUUCUGUCAUAGAGGAAGAACGGUGGAUAUAGGGAAUGAUAUCCAAGUGACGGUACUCUAUAAGAAAGCCACGGCUAACUACGUGCCAGCAGCCGCGGUAAUACGUAGGUGGCGAGCGUUAUCCGGAAUUAUUGGGCGUAAAGAGGGAGCAGGCGGCACUAAGGGUCUGUGGUGAAAGAUCGAAGCUUAACUUCGGUAAGCCAUGGAAACCGUAGAGCUAGAGUGUGUGAGAGGAUCGUGGAAUUCCAUGUGUAGCGGUGAAAUGCGUAGAUAUAUGGAGGAACACCAGUGGCGAAGGCGACGAUCUGGCGCAUAACUGACGCUCAGUCCCGAAAGCGUGGGGAGCAAAUAGGAUUAGAUACCCUAGUAGUCCACGCCGUAAACGAUGA